rnacentral:rRNA from 1 species
CAGUCGCCGCGGGAAUACGGAGGGUGCAAGCGUUAAUCGGAAUUACUGGGCGUAAAGCGCACGCAGGCGGUUUGUUAAGUCAGAUGUGAAAUCCCCGGGCUCAACCUGGGAACUGCAUUUGAAACUGGCAAGCUAGAGUCUCGUAGAGGGGGGUAGAAUUCCAGGUGUAGCGGUGAAAUGCGUAGAGAUCUGGAGGAAUACCGGUGGCGAAGGCGGCCCCCUGGACGAAGACUGACGCUCAGGUGCGAAAGCGUGGGGAGCAAACAGGAUUAGAUACCCCGGUAGUCCCUGUCUCUUAUAC